AGAAGAAGAAGGAAGUCAUUGUUCCUUACGCAGAGCUUUCAAAAUACUUACUUCAGCUUACAAGAACAUCGCUGGAUUACUGUAAAUGAUGUUCAUCAUGUUGCGAGUCUGUCAGCUGUCACACCUAAAUGGAGAAGAUCAUUAAACAUUUCAAGUCACAUCAACAACUUUAGGAUUGACCACCCAAAUCAAGACUAGGCCUACAUGGUAUAUCAGCUGCUGGUCCCACAGUGAAGCCCUCAGUGUCUCUGCUGCCGCCCUCUUCUCUGCAGAUCUCUGGAGACUCAGCCGCACUGCUCUGCCUGCUCAGCUCUUACUCUCCACAGGGGGCGCUGGUGAGCUGGACACUGGACGGGUCAGAGGUCACCGAGGGGGUCGUGACCAGCGCAGAGAGCCAGCGGGAUGGCCGCUACAGCCGCAGUAGCGUCCUGACCCUCAGCAAAGCACGCUGGGAAAAGGGAGAGGUGUACGUCUGCAGAGUAACACAUGAUGGAGCUCCUCAUGAGGUCUCGUUCCACAAGAGCUCUGAGUGCUGAUGUUUCUCUCCUGAAGAUGAGCCGUAUCUGAGUGUCCUGUGUCAGGCAGGAUUCACAUGAGUCUAGUGCUGCAGCUGUAGUGAUUUACAACUCAAUACUGAAAGAGAGCUGGCGUGUCAAAGCACUGUGUGAUCUUUCAAUCUGCUGUAACAUUCAAUAAAGCUUCUCAACAAGUUCA